rnacentral:rRNA from 1 species
ACGGGUGAGUAACACGUAGGUAACCUGCCCUUAAGAUUGGGAUACCCAGAGGAAACUUUGGCUAAUACCGGAUAACAACUUGAAGCGCAUGCUUCGAGCUUAAAAGGCCCAUUUGGGCCACUUGAGGAUGGACCUGCGGCGCAUUAGCUAGUUGGUGAGAUAACAGCCCACCAAGGCGUGGAUGCGUAGCCGAACUGAGAGGUUGAUCGGCCACAUUGGAACUGAGACACGGUCCAAACUCCUACGGGAGGCAGCAGUAAGGAGUUUUCGGCAAUGGGGGAAACCCUGACCGAGCAACGCCGCGUGAGUGAUGACGGCCCUAUGGGUUGUAAAGCUCUGUUGUAAGCCAAGAAUGAUAGCGCUAGGAAAUGAGCGUUAUUUGACGGUAGCUUACCAGAAAGCCACGGCUAACUACGUGCCAGCAGCCGCGGUAAUACGUAGGUGGCAAGCGUUAUCCGGAAUUAUUGGGCGUAAAGAGUGAGCAGGCGGUUUGUCAAGUCUGAGGUUAAAGCGUGGAGCUCAACUCCAUAAAGCCUUGGAAACUAACAGACUAGAGUACGGGAGAAGUAAGUGGAACUCCAUGUGUAGCGGUGAAAUGCGUAGAUAUAUGGAAGAACACCAGUGGCGAAGGCGACUUACUAGCCCGAAACUGACGCUCAGUCACGAAAGCGUGGGUAGCAAAUAGGAUUAGAUACCCUAGUAGUCCACGCUGUAAACGAUGAGAACUAAAUAUUGUCGCGAGGCAGUGUUGAAGCUAACGCAUUAAGUUCUCCGCCUGGGGAGUACGGUCGCAAGACUGAAACUCAAAGGAAUUGACGG